rnacentral:rRNA from 1 species
CCUACGGGGUGCAGCAGUGAGGAAUAUUGGUCAAUGGGCGCGAGCCUGAACCCGCCACGUAGCGUGAAGGAUGACUGCCCUACGGGUUGUAAACUUCUUUUAUAAAGGAAUCAAGUGAGGCACGUGUGCCUUUUUGUAUGUACUUUAUGAAUAAGGAUCGGCUAACUCCGUGCCAGCAGCCGCGGUAUACGGAGGACCCGCGCGUUAUCCGGAUUUCUUGGGUGUAAAGGGAGCGGAGAUGGGUUGUUAAGUCAGUUGUGAACGUUUGCGGCUCAACCGUAAAAUGGCAAUUGAUACUGGAAGUCUUGAGUACAGUUGAGGUAGGCGGAAUUCGUGGUGUAGCGGUGAAAUGCUUAGAUAUCACGAAGAACUCCGAUUGCGAAGGCAGAUUACUAAACUGCCACUGACAUUGAUGCUCGAAAGUGUGGGUAUCAAACAGGAUUAGAUACCCUUGUAGUC